CAUCAGGAGGUUAGUGCAAUGGCAUAAGCUAGCUUGACUGCGAGCGUGACGGCGCGAGCAGGUGCGAAAGCAGGUCAUAGUGAUCCGGUGGUUCUGAAUGGAAGGGCCAUCGCUCAACGGAUAAAAGGUACUCCGGGGAUAACAGGCUGAUACCGCCCAAGAGUUCAUAUCGACGGCGGUGUUUGGCACCUCGAUGUCGGCUCAUCACAUCCUGGGGCUGAAGUAGGUCCCAAGGGUAUGGCUGUUCG
rnacentral:rRNA from 1 species